CGCCAUUGUUAGAUUGCGUUCCCUUGUGUAAAGUCUCGCGUGUCCGAUUUCGUUGGCGGUUUAGUCGUUCGUUUAGUACGUUUCUACGCAGUAAUUGUGGGUGAGUCUAAAAGCAAGCGUGCGGAAUCGAAGCAUACAUCACGUUACGGUAAUCCAAAGAAGCGGAUCUAAUCCCGUAAACUUCUUAGGAUCCGUGCGCCAUUUCGGCAAGGUUCUAGUACGAGCCGAAAAUGCCGGGUUUUAGUAGCGUUGGCACAUUCAAAAUUUUCAUCGGUAAUUUAGCCGAUAAAACAUCAAAUGCCGACAUUAAACCGUUAUUCGAAAAGUACGGAAAGGUUGUAGAGUGCGACGUGGUCAAAAAUUAUGGAUUUGUGCACAUGGAAAAUGAAGAAGCCGGGAGAAACGCGAUACAAAAUUUGAACGGACAUAUAGUUCACGGCCAGCCGAUCAAGUGUGAGGCUGCGAAGAGUCGUAAGGGACCUAACACUCCUACUACAAAAAUAUUCGUCGGCAAUCUCACAGAUAACACGAAAGCGCCGCAAGUGCGCGAAUUGUUUGCCAAGUACGGCACCGUCGUAGAAUGCGACAUCGUGAGAAAUUACGGAUUCGUCCAUCUAGAAGCAACAGGUGAUGUCAACGAUGCCAUCAAGGAACUCAAUGGACAGAUGGUGGAUGGUCAGCCAAUGAAGGUUCAAAUUUCUACGAGUAGAGUACGACAAAGGCCAGGAAUGGGAGAUCCUGAACAGUGCUACCGAUGCGGUCGCGGCGGUCAUUGGUCCAAGGAAUGUCCGAAAGGAGGAAUGGGAGGAGGACCAGAUAGGAAUGGAUACAGAGACCGAAUGUUUGGACGUGACCCGUAUCCUCCACCGCCGCCACCACCGUUCCUUCGGGACCGGUUAAUGGGUGGUGGCCGCUUUGGAGAUUACGAAGGAUACUAUGACAGGAGGGGCUUCGAGGACACCAGGGAUCUCUACGAGAGGCGGUUUACGGGUAUGACAGGGCCCUGUGACAUGGGAAGUUCCAUGUGCGGGCUUGACUUUCCACCAAUGACAAUGCCACCUCUACCCCCAAGACGAGACCCAAUGCCUCCUAUGCCUCCUCUAGGUAUGGGAUCCAUGCGUGACACUGGCUUCUCCCGUGGUAACGAGUAUGGCAUGUUCAGUCGCCGAUCACCCCCUCCGAGUGGCAACAACGGCCGGUUCAGUGCACCUCAGGCUGCGUACCAUCUUUGUCCAUGAAUGCGGGCAACCCUAGAGAGACAGUCCCGGGCCAGCGUUCAAGUCGUGCAAGAACCGGGAUUACGAGGGCCAUCGCCGUCGCGCCGGUUCGCACCAUACUAAAUCGUCGCGUCGGGCUCGGAUCGGUCUCUGUCGGUCUGUCUGUCUCUGUGUCGGGUCUGUGUCUGUCGCUAGCAGGAAGCCUCGGGACCGAGAUACUCUUGGCCGUCUGUGUCUGUCGAUCUGCACGCGCGAAGAUCUACCAUUCGCCCGCUCUAUCGGAACAUGUACUCUCUCCGCAGUAUAUGCUAUUUAGACGAGAAUCCCCCGUCCGCUCCCCUUUAAAUGAGAAUACAGAAAUCAUACCGAUUAAGCAGUAAAAAAAUUUUAUCGAAUUGUGCAGGUCUCUGUUAGGACGCCGUUGCCGUUUACCCCUUCGCUCUUUAUUUCUUCUUCCUACCGAUGCCCGCCCGAUUUUCCCACUUUCGAGAUUUAUGCAUGACGCGCAUCUCGUUACGAUGUUCCAUCAGCUUUUUCCUUUGGCACCUUCUCAAUUCCUUCGAACCGUUUUGCCAUGUUCAAUAUUUCUUGCCCGGUCCCUUCAAAACACUCUUCUUUGGUAUUUCGACACGCGUAUCUAUUCGAUAGUCAUCGAAUCGAUAAGCAGAUUUUCUCAUUUUCGAUGUAAGAAAUUGUAUUGUGGCAUCCUCCUACCGAAUAGAUUUUUCGACCGGCUGUUCAAUUGGAUUCAUUUUUGAUUUGCUUCCAUUAUUCUGCAGAGAGCGAAACAAUUCGUUCUUCAUGUUCGCUAAUUCAAAUUCUAUUUAAGUUAAUUCGAAGAAUGAAUUGGUAGGAUGAUGCAUAUAUAUAAUAUAUAUAAAUAAAGUGUUCGAUGGCCGUUUCUGUGACAAUGACGCGCGCGUACGCGCAUUCUUGAUUUGAGAUCGUACAAAUAUUUCGCGUCCCUUCUGCGACAAAACGUUUCAAUCGCGGUUACUGUCUCUACUCAAACCCGAUCGUCAAGAACUAUCGAUCGGACAAAUCUGCAGUCAAACGAUAAUGAUAUUGAUUGGAAUAGAAGCUGAGCUUCGCGUCUUUUUUCCACCGUUACGAGCUGGGCGUUUCGCUACGUGUCGCAAUCACAAAAUCGGAGCAUCGUAUAAACGUACGUUCGUGAACAUUUAUUUUACUUCAUUCUUUUUGUUUCAUUUUUGUUACUUCCGCCUUACGCGCGGGUUUCGUUUGUCACAUCUUGGACGAUCCCGAUAGAUUCAACCCCGUAAAAUUUGUCUAGGCAAUAACGGGAUUUUCGUAAUGCGUGCGAAAAUAAUUGUAAAUGGCAGAGCGGUUGUUCGAAUUAUGCGAUGAUAAAGUUUCUUGCUUAGCUUAUUAAGAGGCGCCGAUGAAGGCAACAAUCUGCGUGCGUGUGACCGAUACCGUGUAACAUCCUCCCGUCGUGUAUCCUGAUUCUUCUCGAUACGGGAUGAUAGAUAAUAUCGUAUUUAUGUAAUUUUCCUUUAAAGUAACGAGAGAAAUGCGUGCGGGUUCGACUAUUCGAAUCAUUUGACCCGAUCAUGAAGAACGAAAAAAACCUUAAUCAUACAAUUUCUGAUACACAAUAGUCUCGUAGGAUGCGUCGAUUCUGUAUUGAAAUCGUAAAGUCGGUCGUGCGAAUAUUAUAUCGUUAAUCUGUAGUAACGUAAUAUCGUUUUAUUAACGUAUUAGAAUUAAUUAUCGUGGAUAAUUACCGAAGGUCAAUAUGGUAAUCGCAGUUGCGCUCCGUUUAGCUUAUAAAUACACGUAAACAGAUAUACACACACACUCACAUUUAAAUAUAUACGGAUGACCAUCGUUUUUCGUUUCGAGCAGCGUAUGCACAGCGUGGCUGUGUAAUAUUUCUCUAUCUUCAAUAUUUUUUUUCUUUUUUUCUCGUUCUCUUCCUCUUUUAUUUGAUAAUACGACCUGUUUUCAAUGGUAAUUAGAUUAAUGAUAAUCAUACUAAUAAUGGUUUAAAGAAGCGAAUGUAAUAACAAUGUACUGUAAAAUUCACAAAAAAAGGCGUUUCGUGUUCUUUAAU